GCUGGGCGCCCCCCUGGUACCUGCGUGGGAGAAGCCGUCGCCGCAUAUUAGUUCCCCUUGAGUGGGAGCCGGUGACGCGUAGGGACGGAAGUUCUGGAAAUACGCAGAGAAGGGAGGGAAAGGCCGCUCCCGGCCGCCUGCCCCCACGCGGGUCCGUGGAGGACGCGAGGCGAGCGAGGCCGCAGAGAGUGGAGCGAGCGGGUAACCUCAGCGGCGCGGCACCUCGGCCUCCUGCAGGGCAGGCCUCGGCAGGAGGAGGCCCACACGCCGUUUCCAACGUGUUUCCCCCAAACACGCCCCCUCUCCCCUCCGGUGUCACGCGCCAGCGCCCGGCUGCCCCCGAGUGUCCCGGCCACGUCCUCUCCCACCUUCCGCAGCAGUGACCGGGUUCUGCCGACUGGACCCCCGCAGGAGUUCUGACACCCGCCCAGGUGUCCUGCUGCUUCCACCUGAUCGGAGUCCCCGUGAUCGUGACCCGAACGGCGGGAAGGCAGUGCCUUUUCCAGUGGCGCCGCUCCUCCAGCACGUCCCCCUGUCGGCCCCUCUGGCAUUCGGCUGCCAUAGGUAAUUUUCCUCCAGAAUCUUCUUCACUGAAGCGACAUCACAGUGCAAGUGUUGAAAGCAUUUUCUAAGCACUGGAAAAUGGCCGAGUGAGCAGGACCCUCAUCCAAGGGGUGCAGCCAUGAGACAGCACGAGAGAGCGAGGUGUUUCAACCGUCUGGACCGAACCCAGUGAAUGCCUCUGUAUGAACUUCAGAGAUUCCGAUAAACUUAAGGCUUCAGCAUUAAUGCCCUGGGUUCCCCAAUCCUGUACGUGCAGUUGGACCUCUUUCUGCCCUCUUCACCUUUCAUCUCUCCGUUGUGCCGCCGUGAGACUCCGGUCUGUGCGGUCACUGCUCCUCCGGGCACUGCUCCCUGGCAGGUACACCUCCCCCUUCUCUGUUUCCACCUCCCCCCUUCCCGGCUCCUCCCACCCCCGCACCCACCGUGGGGGCUGGCUCAGGUUUCUCCAGUCUCAAAACAAAACCGAUACCCUGCCCUCAAUCCCCUGUCCUCCGCUGAAUAUCUAG